UAAGGCUGAGACACGACGUCGAGCACCUACGGGUGUGAAGUCAUUGAUGCCAUGCUUCCAGGAAAAGCCUCUAAGCUUCAGAUUGUAAGGAAUCGUACCCCAAACCGACACAGGUGGUCGGGUAGAGAAUACCAAGGCGCUUGAGAGAACUCGGGUGAAGGAACUAGGCAAAAUGGUACCGUAACUUCGGGAGAAGGUACGCUCUUGAUGGUGAAGUCCCUCGCGGAUGGAGCUGACGAGAGUCGCAGAUACCAGGUGGCUGCAACUGUUUAUUAAAAACACAGCACUGUGCAAAAUCGUAAGAUGACGUAUACGGUGUGACGCCUGCCCGGUGCCGGAAGGUUAAUUGAUGGGGUUAGACUUCGGUCGAAGCUCUUGAUCGAAGCCCCGGUAAACGGCGGCCGUAACUAUAACGGUCCUAAGGUAGCGAAAUUCCUUGUCGGGUAAGUUCCGACCUGCACGAAUGGCGUAAUGAUGGCCACGCUGUCUCCACCCGAGACUCAGUGAAAUUGAAAUCGCUGUGAAGAUGCAGUGUACCCGCGGCUAGACGGAAAGACCCCGUGAACCUUUACUACAGCUUGGCACUGAACAUUGACCCUACAUGUGUAGGAUAGGUGGGAGGCUUUGAAGCACGUACGCCAGUAUGUGUGGAGCCGUCCUUGAAAUACCACCCUUGUAGUGUUGAUGUUCUAACGUCGACCCCUAAUCGGGGUUGCGGACAGUGCCUGGUGGGUAGUUUGACUGGGGCGGUCUCCUCCCAAAGAGUAACGGAGGAGCACGAAGGUGGGCUAAUCACGGUUGGACAUCGUGAGGUUAGUGCAAUGGCAUAAGCCCGCUUGACUGCGAGAAUGACAAUUCGAGCAGGUGCGAAAGCAGGUCAUAGUGAUCCGGUGGUUCUGAAUGGAAGGGCCAUCGCUCAACGGAUAAAAGGUACUCCGGGGAUAACAGGCUGAUACCGCCCAAGAGUUCAUAUCGACGGCGGUGUUUGGCACCUCGAUGUCGGCUCAUCACAUCCUGGGGCUGAAGUCGGUCCCAAGGGUAUGGCUGUUCGCCAUUUAAAGUGGUACGCGAGCUGGGUUUAGAACGUCGUGAGACAGUUCGGUCCCUAUCUGCCGUGGGCGUUGGAAGAUUGAAGGGGGCUGCUCCUAGUACGAGAGGACCGGAGUGGACGAACCUCUGGUGUUCGGGUUGUGUCGCCAGACGCAUUGCCCGGUAGCUAAGUUCGGAAUCGAUAACCGCUGAAAGCAUCUAAGCGGGAAGCGAGCCCUGAGAUGAGUCUUCCCUGAUACUUUAAGUAUCCUAAAGGGUUGUCGGAGACUACGACGUUGAUAGGUCAGGUGUGUAAGUGCUGUGAGGCAUUGAGCUAACUGAUACUAAUUGCCCGUGAGGCUUAACCAUACAACACCCAAGGGGUUU
rnacentral:rRNA from 1 species